rnacentral:tRNA from 1 species
GCUCCUGUCGUUCAACGGAUAGGAUGCCUCCCUCCGAAGGAGGCGAUGUAGGUUCGAUUCCUGCCAGGAGCACAA